AGUGUCGGCCGAAACAACCAGAUGCACUCGACAUCUUAUCUUUUUUUCGGUCCUAUAUUUUAUCGCGGCCGUACGAGGACAACACAUGAAAAAAAAACGAGUCGGGAGCGUGACGAGACUAUUUCCCAACAAACGACGAAAGGUUGACAUUCAAACAACAAUUUGAGGCCGUGCAAGAAAUCUAAAAAUAUUGGUCGUGUCAAUCGCCAAGAAACAAAUACGGAUCGUGCGUACGCUACUGCAAUUACUUCCUGGACGAGACCAUCGUGACCCCUGACUCUACUGGACCCGUUCAAAAAAGACACCUGAAACAUUUCAUUCCAAAUAUCUUGAAAAUCUUAUCGGAUAGCGACCAGCGUGACUGGCCCUAUUAUAUUCAGAUUUUUAAUUUUAUUUCUACAUACGACGAGUGACUCACAAACGUCUUUUUGCGCGCUGUUUGAUUGUGGCAACCGGAUCGCGAACGCAAAGUUCAUUUGCACUGGAGAACAGCGGUGUGUCGAAGGCCGAGUAAAGAUCAAUAUUGACUCUAAUGAAAGGACGCGGGAAGCGAAACCCACGAGUAGGAAAACAGCUGUUCUCCCCACUACAUUUGGGCUGCGGAUAUCCGAUCACCAGAGAGCGGGUCGCAGUUUCCGGCCGCGCGGAAUCGCGUCGGAAAUGUGGCAGCGUCGAUGAUCGGAUCUGAUGACCCAGAGAACAAACAGAAAUUGCGCGGAGCAAACGAGAAUCGUUUACUUUCGGCUCUCCUGCUUCUGUCUUUGCCUCCGUCGGAAAUCCAUUACCGACAGGCCGGACCCAUCAACCCCGUCCCGCGCUAUAAUAUAACUCAACGCGAUUAAAUAUGAUCUGAUCAAGAUAGAUGAGGUGCAAGACAUUUGUCAUCUGCCGUAUCCAUCAACGUGAUGCAAUCAAAGUCCAAUCCUUUCACACUUUCCUUAUUAUUAUGGCCCCAUGUGUUUGUUUUUUUUUGUUAUUUUGCACGAGAAAAAUGUUGUGUAGUUUUGAAAUAACAAGUUGGAUGGGGCGGACACACAAGGGAAUGGAAGUCCCCCCGUAUCGUCAAAUGUGGAGUUGGAGAAAGACCAGGAUUGAAGGUUUCGGGAUUACACGAAACGGCAUACUGCAACAGCUUUUCGGGCUUGUUGCUGCUGCUGCAACAA